rnacentral:rRNA from 1 species
UACAGAGGUCCCAAGCGUUGUUCGGAUUCACUGGGCGUAAAGGGUGCGUAGGUGGUCGGGUAAGUCUGAUGUGAAAUCUUCGAGCUCAACUCGAAAAUGGCAUUGGAUACUAUUCGGCUGGAGGGUUGGAAGGGGGACUGGAAUUCUCGGUGUAGCAGUGAAAUGCGUAGAUAUCCGGAGGAACACCGAUGGCGAAGGCAACCGCCUGGGCCUGUACUGACGCUGAGACACGAAAGCGUGGGGAGCAAACAGG